AUUGGUAAAGCACUGACUUUGCAAAUCCAGUGUAACAUCCUGAAAAUUGGAGCCACCAGGCCUCAACUCCCAGCAGCCCCAUGCCAGCUUUCCAUCCCCAUCUCUGGAGCCACCCCUCCCCAUCCCUGUGUUUAGCCUCCAUCGAAGGCCCCUCACGCACACGGGAUGGGAGUAGCCGCCAUGGAAAUCAAAGCCAGUGAUGGCCUGGACACAGUCGAUGUCCAGCUUGCGGGCCACGCGGUGUAGAUUGGGCAGGUUCAGCUGGACACAGCCAAUAGGCAUCAUGCUGGGCAGGAAGAGAUGAACACCACAGACGGGGUAAAUGAUUUGCCUAAAGUCACACAGCUCGUAAGGGCCAGAGCCCACACUUUCAUCCACUAGCCUAUAUUCUGUGCUGUCAUCACUGAUAGCAGUGACUGAGACUGAGAGACAAAGUCACUUAAGAGCUGAUGGCUGAGAUACAUACUGAAAGAUUUCUGGAUGAAAUGCUGCCAUGUCUGGGGUUUGCUCCACGAGAUCAGAAGAAAAGGCAAGUGGAGUGGAGCUGGAGAGACUGCUG
rnacentral:lncRNA from 10 species